rnacentral:lncRNA from 1 species
AGCCCAACUGCGAAUCACCUCUAAGAUAUAAAGCUAUCCUAUGUCAAAAAGGGCAAUAAAUAAUAUGAAAAAGAAUCGGAUCAUAAUCACUAACAGACUCACUACCAUGUGUGUGUGAAUAGAUAACAGGCUUAAUGUGAUUACCAAAGGUUUAAAAGGGAUGAAGAAAGAUGAGAUUAAAGUUAAGUUCAGGAUUGACAAAAUAGUUCGAAACGGUCUAUAUAAGGAAGAAAUUCAUGAUCGUAUGUGAUUUGUGUUUUUAUGAUAUCUUUAGUGUGAUGAAUGAACUUACUUGUUUUAUUUGGUCAAGAUUAAAAUAGGUGACUAAAGGGACGUCUUAUGUCAUGUUUUCUC